CCCCAAGCAGCGGAGCCUCUCCUGACCCUGCAAGCUCCUUCUGGGAUAUCUUUCUCUUCUGGCUCAGGAGCCAUCCUCUCUGUUCCAGCAAGAAUCACCCCCAUGGACCAGGGAGAGCUGGUGUGGGGUUCACCCGCCCCCGAGCUCCGUACGUUCUGCGCCGCGUCUGGGGAGCUCCGUCCACCUGGAUGUGCUCGAUGGCCAGAGAGUCUACAUCCAGACCAGCGGUUCCCACAUGGGCACAUGCCCCCCAGGGGGCAGUUUGACUUUUAAGGGGGGCGAUUCGAGAAUGAGUUAUUAACAGUGAACUUUUUAUAUUUCUUAUGGUUCUAGGGGCCUCAUCUACAGCAUAUAAAUAUAGAUUGUGGCAUA